rnacentral:tRNA from 1 species
GGGAAGUAGCUCAGUUGGUAGAGCAUCGCGUUCGCAACGCGGGGGUCGAGAGUUCGAAUCUCUUCUUCUCC